rnacentral:lncRNA from 1 species
UCGAAUUGCAGCCUGAAUAAUACGACGAUGGAUCAAGAAAAUGUCACAACAAGCCAACAAAGGGGAUGGUACUUCCUAGUUAUCUUCUCAAAAUAUUUGACAGGCAGACUUCAGUGGAAAUCAAAUAUUCACCAACCAGGCAAAAGAAAUCAGAAGUACAGAACCAGAACACACACUAGACAAAAAAGACUUCCACAGAUCUUGAAACUUGUACCAGGUAACUUAGAAGGUCAUCUCAUGCGGCUUGUCGCCAUCCCUGAGGGAGAACCGGGCACCAAGAUAAUUUUUAAGGUCUGGGAC